rnacentral:rRNA from 1 species
CCCCCUCAAGAUGAGAUUUCCCAAUUAGUAAGACCCCUUGAAGACGACGAGGUUGAUAGGUUCGGGGUGGAAGCACGGCAACGUGUGGAGCUGACGAAUACUAAUCGGUCGAGGGCUUAUCCUA